GAAGGAGAGAACUAUGAGUUGAAGGAAGACGGUUUUGCAUGACUAUGCUAUGCCCCUGUAUACGCAAAGAUGUAGAGACACACACACACAGACAUACACACACACACACACACAGAGACACACACAGACACACACAAACACACACAGACACACACUGACAUAGAGACACACACACAGACACACACUGACACAGAGACACACAUAGACACAGAGACACACACAGACACACACUGACACAGACACAGAGACACACACACAGACACAGAGACACACACAGACACACACUGACAUAGACACACACAGACACCCAUUGACACACAGACACACAUAGACACAGAGACACACACAGACACACACUGACACACAGACACAGAGACACACACAGACACACACUGACAGAGACACACACAGACACACAUUGACACACAGACACACAUAGACACAGACACACAUUGACACACAGACACACAUAGACACAGACACACAUUGACACACAGACACAUAGACACAGAGACACACACACAGACACACACUGACACACAGACACAGAGACACACACACAGACAUACACAGACACACACAGACACAAAGACACAACAGACACAGACACACACACUGACACACAGAGACACACACACACAGACACACACAGACACAGGGACACACACAGACACACACUGACACAGAGACACACAGACACAGAGACACAGACACACACUGACACAGAGACACACAGACACACAGACAUACACAGACACACAUAGACACAGAGACACACACAAAGACACACAGUGACACACAGACACAGAGACACACACACAGACAUAUACAGACACACACAGACACAGAGACACACACUGACACAGAGACACACACAGACACACACUGACACACAGACACAGAGACACCCACAGACAUACACAGACACACACAGACACACACUGACAUACAGACACAGACAUACAAAAGACACACACACUACACAACACAUGCACACAUAGAGACACACAAAUGCACACACACAACACACACACAGACCCAUGUACAGGCACAGACACAGAGACGCAGACACACACACCACACACAUCACAUAGACACAUACACAGACACGCACAACACACAGACACACACAACACACACACUACACAACACAUGCACACAGAAACACACAGACAAAUGCACACACACAACACACACAGACACAUGCACAGACACAGAGACACACACAUAUACUACACAACAUGCACACACAAGACACACAGGCACACAGACACAGAGACACACACAACACACACAGACAUGCAUAGACACACACAACACACACAGCCAUAAACAUACAAACACUACACAACAGAGACACACACAACACACAGACACAUGCACAGACCCACACACACAGAUACCACACAACACACACACAGAUACAGACACAACAUAGACACACAUACAACACAUGCACAGACACAUACACAGAGACACACACAUACACGCAGACACAUGUACACAGACAUACACACAGGUACAGACACGCAGACACACUACAUAUGCACAGACACACAGACACUGGCACAGAAACACAUGGAGAUGACACAGACAUAAACACACAGACGCACACGUAUACACCAUAGUGAGGCUCAUCCCACUUCUGUGCUGUGAGUGGCAUAAUCUCUUAUUUCCUUUUUCAAUCAAGAAACCCUGACAUUUCCAACCACCACACAUGGGGUAAAUACGGUAGCACGGACCAAAACCGUAACAAACAAAACAACGCGCACACAUGCACACACACACACGCACACACACACACACGAA
rnacentral:lncRNA from 10 species